rnacentral:rRNA from 1 species
UGAAAUCCUGUAAUCCCGGGAGGACACUGUGCGAAGGCGCUCGGCUGGAACGGGUCCGACGUGAGGGACGAAGGCCUGGGGAGCGAACCGGAUUAGAUACCCGGGUAGUCCAGGCUGUAAACGAUGCGGGCUAGGUGUCACCGGAGCUACGAGCUCCGGUGGUGCCGGAGGGAAGCCGUUAAGCCCGCCGCCUGGGAAGUACGGCCGCAAGGCUGAAACUUAAAGGAAUUGGCGGGGGAGCACUACAACGAGUGGAGCCUGCGGUUUAAUUGGAUUCAACGCCGGGAAGCUUACCGGGGGAGACAGCGGGAUGAAGGUCGGGCUGAAGACCUUACCAGACUGGCUGAGAGGUGGUGCAUGGCCGCCGUCAGUUCGUACUGUGAAGCAUCCUGUUAAGUCAGGCAACGAGCGAGACCCGCGCCCUCAGUUGCCAGCGGGUCCCUUCGGGGACGCCGGGCACACUGAGGGGACUGCCGGCGCUAAGCCGGAGGAAGGUGCGGGCAACGGCAGGUCCGUAUGCCCCGAAUCCCCCGGGCUACACGCGGGCUACAAUGGCCGGGACAAUGGGUACCGACCCCGAAAGGGGUGGGUAAUCUCCUAAACCCGGUCUAACCUGGGAUCGAGGGCUGCAACUCGCCCUCGUGAACCUGGAAUCCGUAGUAAUCGCGUCUC